rnacentral:rRNA from 1 species
GACGAACGCUGGCGGCGUGCUUAACACAUGCAGGUCGAACGGAAAGGCCCUGCUUUUGCGGGGUGCUCGAGUGGCGAACGGGUGAGUAACACGUGAGUAACCUGCCCUUGACUUUGGGAUAACUUCAGGAAACUGGGGCUAAUCCCGGAUAGGAGCUCCUGCUGCAUGGUGGGGGUUGGAAAGUUUCGGCGGUUGGGGAUGGACUCGCGGCUUAUCAGCUUGUUGGUGGGGUAGUGGCUUACCAAGGCUGUGACGGGUAGCCGGCCUGAGAGGGUGACCGGCCUCAUUGGGACUGAGAUACGGCCCAGACUCCUACGGGAGGCAGCAGUGGGGAAUAUUGCACAAUGGGCGGAAGCCUGAUGCAGCAACGCUGCGUGCGGGAUGACGGCCUUCGGGUUGUAAACCGCUUUCGCCUGUGACGAAGCGUGAGUGACGGUAAUGGGUAAAGAAGCACCGGCUAACUACGUG